GUGGGGAAUAUUCCGCAAUGGGCGCAAGCCUGACGGAGCAACGCCGCGUGAAUGAAGACGGUCUUCGGAUUGUAAAGUUCUGUCAUUAGGGACGAAGGACUCAUGUAAAUAAUAUGAGGAAUGACGGUACCUAAGGAGGAAGCUCCGGCUAACUACGUGCCAGCAGCCGCGGUAAUACGUAGGGAGCAAGCGUUGUCCGGAAUUACUGGGCGUAAAGGGCGCGUAGGCGGAUAAUUAAGUCAGAUGUGAAAUCUCCAGGCUUAACUUGGAGCGUGCAUUUGAAACUGGUUAUCUUGAGGGCAGGAGAGGAAAGUGGAAUUCCUAGUGUAGCGGUGAAAUGCGUAGAUAUUAGGAGGAACACCAGUGGCGAAGGCGACUUUCUGGACUGAACCUGACGCUGAGGCGCGAAAGCAUGGGGAGCGAACGGGAUUAGAUACCCUUGUAGUCC
rnacentral:rRNA from 1 species